rnacentral:rRNA from 1 species
ACGCUGGCGGCGUGCCUAGUACAUGCAAGUCGAACGGUCUUUUCUAUGGAAGCUUGCUUCCACUGAGAAGAUAGUGGCGAACGGGUGAGUAACACGUGGGUAACCUGCCCAUAAGAGGGGGAUAACAUCCGGAAACGGGUGCUAAUACCGCAUAGUUUUCUUGAUUGCAUGAUUGAGAAAGGAAAGACGGCCUUUGUGCUGUCGCUUAUGGAUGGACCCGCGGCGUAUUAGUUAGUUGGUGAGGUAACGGCUCACCAAGACGAUGAUACGUAGCCGACCUGAGAGGGUGAUCGGCCACAUUGGGACUGAGACACGGCCCAAACUCCUACGGGAGGCAGCAGUAGGGAAUCUUCCGCAAUGGACGAAAGUCUGACGGAGCAACGCCGCGUGAGUGAAGAAAGGUUUUCGGAUCGUAAAACUCUGUUGUCAGAGAAGAACAAGUUGGAGAGUAACUGCUCCAGCCUUGACGGUAUCUGACCAGAAAGCCACGGCUAACUACGUGCCAGCCGCUGC